rnacentral:lncRNA from 1 species
CCACCUAUCUAUCCAUACGCAUCACCGCCACCGCCACCCGUGCAUUCCCCACCACCACCUGUCCAUUCUCCACCACCUCCAUGCAUAGAACCGCCUCCUCCUUCUCCACCACCCCCAUCACCACCUCCAUGCAUAGAACCGCCUCCUCCUCCUUCUCCACCACCAUGUGUAGAAUAUUCGCCACCUCCACCAUCACCACACUCACCACCGCCACCACCAGUUCAUUACUUGCCUCCACCAUCACCAUCACCCCCACCACCACCUGUGUAUGCUUCUCCGCCACCUCCACCAUCUCUGCCUCCCCCAGUUUA